GCGGCGAGUGGCGACGGGUGAGUAAUACAUCGGAACGUGCCCAAUCGUGGGGGAUAACGCAGCGAAAGCUGUGCUAAUACCGCAUACGAUCUACGGAUGAAAGCAGGGGAUCGCAAGACCUUGCGCGAAUGGAGCGGCCGAUGGCAGAUUAGGUAGUUGGUGAGGUAAAGGCUCACCAAGCCUUCGAUCUGUAGCUGGUCUGAGAGGACGACCAGCCACACUGGGACUGAGACACGGCCCAGACUCCUACGGGAGGCAGCAGUGGGGAAUUUUGGACAAUGGGCGAAAGCCUGAUCCAGCCAUGCCGCGUGCAGGAUGAAGGCCUUCGGGUUGUAAACUGCUUUUGUACGGAACGAAACGGCCUUUUCUAAUAAAGAGGGCUAAUGACGGUACCGUAAGAAUAAGCACCGGCUAACUACGUGCCAGCAGCCGCGGUAAUACGUAGGGUGCAAGCGUUAAUCGGAAUUACUGGGCGUAAAGCGUGCGCAGGCGGUUAUGUAAGACAGUUGUGAAAUCCCCGGGCUCAACCUGGGAACUGCAUCUGUGACUGCAUAGCUAGAGUACGGUAGAGGGGGAUGGAAUUCCGCGUGUAGCAGUGAAAUGCGUAGAUAUGCGGAGGAACACCGAUGGCGAAGGCAAUCCCCUGGACCUGUACUGACGCUCAUGCACGAAAGCGUGGGGAGCAAACA
rnacentral:rRNA from 1 species